CUUUCAAUAACUCUUUUUUAGCCUUCCUACACAUGGUGAAGUUUACUUUAACCCCUCCUCAACCCCCACAAUAUAGUCCUCAUCUAUCCGCAUAGAAGGGCCAUCAGCAACAACACUAGCAAGCUUUUCAGUAGCCCCACCAAUAGGCCCCUCUUUAGGCAUCUCAGUGUUCCUGUCACCUACAAGCCCUUUAGUUUAGUCCUCGCCUAACCCCUCA
rnacentral:lncRNA from 1 species